rnacentral:lncRNA from 1 species
GAUUAUCUAGGCCUAGAUUUUGCUAAAUUGAAAUACACUGACGUAUAUCUCCUACUAAUUUGGAGGGGUCAAUCCCAUCUUGACUCACGCACCGACUUGACAAGUACUUAACUGCACCCAGAAACCUUCCAUCACUGAAUUAAAAACUCAAUUAGUCCAAUACUAAAGUAUAAUGAGUUCCUUGCAAGUCAUCAUGGUGAUC